CUAGCCCUCCCAAAGCCCUGGUAACACAAUCCACUCCAAGUACAUUUUCUAUCUCUAACAUUGUGUUGUAAGAGAGGUUGGAAGGGUCUGAGUAUUUUUGUGUUCUAGGGAGAAAAUGGGGCCAGGAGGACCAGGAGGACCGGGAGGGCCGCCGGGAUGGGGUGGUCCUCCUCCCGGACCGGGUUUUUUCGGAGGUUUUUGUGACAUUAUCGGUGCUUGUGUGAACUUCCUAUGCUGCUGCUGGUUGCUUCAAGACUGUUUUGGUGGUCCCAUGGGUCCACCAGGGCCUCCUGGAUUUGGACCUCCUCCACCAUAAGCAGCCUGCUUCCUGCAAUACAAAAAACAUGGAGACUUUCUGUCUUUGUAUUACACUGCACAUCUACCUAACUAUUUAUAUCAUGUAAUAAUUUAUUUCAUUUUUAGUAGAAUUAAUGUUGUUGAAAUAUGAAUAAACCUAGAGUUCUUAAACCC